rnacentral:rRNA from 1 species
CCUACGGGUGGCUGCAGUGGGGAAUAUUGGACAAUGGGGGCAACCCUGAUCCAGCCAUGCCGCGUGUGUGAAGAAGGCCCUCGGGUUGUAAAGCACUUUCAGUGAGGAAGAACGCCUGGUGGUUAAUACCCAUCAGGAAAGACAUCACUCACAGAAGAAGCACCGGCUAACUCCGUGCCAGCAGCCGCGGUAAUACGGAGGGUGCGAGCGUUAAUCGGAAUUACUGGGCGUAAAGCGCGCGUAGGUGGCUUGAUAAGCCGGUUGUGAAAGCCCCGGGCUCAACCUGGGAACGGCAUCCGGGACUGUCAAGCUAGAGUGCAGGAGAGGAAGGUAGAAUUCCCGGUGUAGCGGUGAAAUGCGUAGAGAUCGGGAGGAAUACCAGUGGCGAAGGCGGCCUUCUGGACUGACACUGACACUGAGGUGCGAAAGCGUGGGUAGCAAACAGGAUUAGAUACCCUAGUAGUC